AUUGAACGCUGGCGGCAUGCCUUACACAUGCAAGUCGAACGGCAGCGGGGGAGAAGCUUGCUUUUCCUGCCGGCGAGUGGCGAACGGGUGAGUAAUACAUCGGAACGUGCCCUGUAGUGGGGGAUAACUAGUCGAAAGAUUAGCUAAUACCGCAUACGACCUGAGGGUGAAAGUGGGGGACCGCAAGGCCUCAUGCUAUAGGAGCGGCCGAUGUCUGAUGAGCUAGUUGGUGGGGUAAAGGCCUACCAAGGCGACGAUCAGUAGCUGGUCUGGGAGGACGAUCAGCCACACUGGGACUGAGACACGGCCCAGACUCCUACGGGAGGCAGCAGUGGGGAAUUUUGGACAAUGGGCGAAAGCCUGAUCCAGCAAUGCCGCGUGUGUGAAGAAGGCCUUCGGGUUGUAAAGCACUUUUGUCCGGAAAGAAAUGUCUCUGGUUAAUACCUGGGGUCGAUGACGGUACCGGAAGAAUAAGGACCGGCUAACUACGUGCCAGCCGCCGCGGUAA
rnacentral:rRNA from 1 species